AGUGAACGCUGGCGGUAGGCCUAACACAUGCAAGUCGAACGGCAGCACAGGAGAGCUUGCUCUCUGGGUGGCGAGUGGCGGACGGGUGAGGAAUACAUCGGAAUCUACUCUGACGUGGGGGAUAACGUAGGGAAACUUACGCUAAUACCGCAUACGACCUACGGGUGAAAGCAGGGGACCUUCGGGUCUUGCGCGAUUGACUGAGCCGAUGUCGGAUUAGCUAGUUGGCGGGGUAAAGGCCCACCAAGGCGACGAUCCGUAGCUGGUCUGAGAGGAUGAUCAGCCACACUGGAACUGAGACACGGUCCAGACUCCUACGGGAGGCAGCAGUGGGGAAUAUUGGACAAUGGGCGCAAGCCUGAUCCAGCCAUACCGCGUGGGUGAAGAAGGCCUUCGGGUUGUAAAGCCCUUUUGUUGGGAAAGAAAUCCAGCUGGCUAAUACCCGGUUGGGAUGACGGUACCCAAAGAAUAAGCACCGGCUAACUUCGUGCCAGCAGCCGCCGUAA
rnacentral:rRNA from 1 species